CGUAAAAAAAACCAAUGCAAUUUUACAGCGGGUAUAUGAUCAAACGAAGUAAAACUUGAAACAUAAAAAGCAGGCUGACGAAGCUGCGCAUCCUGGCCAUUUCUGCAGUAUCGUGCCAUACGAAGAGUUUAAGCAGGGAUACUGCGUCUAAACACCUUGAUUCAAGCAUCUGCAGAUGCGACUGUGGGGCGGUCGAAGAUAAAAUGCACGUUGAGAGAGGUGAUCCAAUGGAUCACCAUCCACACUUGCAGCGCGCCAGAGAUCUUCCAUGCCAUAAAUACCAGGGGCUUUCACAGCUAUGAAGCACAACCCAAUAAGCAGGACAUGCCUCGUGAAACGAUGUCUACGUAUGAUAUUGAGCCAAAAGAUGUUAACAUGUGCGCAUAACAAUAGGCUCAUUCAUACAAAGCCCGAAGCCCGAGAAUUAACAACAAAGCAGGCAGAGCAAACACGUCCUUGGAAGGAGUAGCUGAGAGAGGUGAUCCAACGGAUCACCAUCCACACUGGCAGCGAAGCAGAGACCUUCAAUGCCAUGAAUACCAGGGGCUUUCGCAGCUAUGAAGUACAACCCAAUAAGCAGGACAUGCCUCGUAACACGAUGUCGACCUAUGAUAUUGAGCCAGUAAUGUUAGCACGUGCGCAUUGUAGAAAAAUUAUUCAUAAAGUUUCCGACAUUUAACCUACUAAUAUUUUAUAAGGACGCAUACCACGCGACUGCCUUGGGAAGCGUCCCUCAAUGUCGUGCAGUUGGUUCCGGAGGAGGCGCGGACGCCAUCCAUACGUCUUCGUGUCUAGUCCGUCCUCGUCAAUUUUACUGAUCAGCAGAGGGGCAGAUUGUUUUAUCGCAAUUUUACUGAUCAGCAGACGCCUGUCAGAAGCAUGGCUGGAGCUCCUGGAGCGUAUGGCUUCCGUGAUCAGGAGCAUGAGCGCACACAUCACACGCGACAUCACUUAGUAUGACAUGGCAUAGCAACCUUCUAACGCAGUCUGAACGGUAGCUGGAUUUGAUAGUCCUCCUACAUAGCAGUAUCCUAAUUGCCAAUCAUUGCGGUGCCCUAACCUUAAUCCAAUACCAGUGUACUAAUCGUAAUCCUGGAUUUAGGUAUUUAUCCUAAUCCUGGGGCCGGGUCCCAAUCCUAAUCCUGGGGCCGGGUCCCAAUCCUAAUCCUGGGGCCGGGUCGCAAUCCUAAUCCUGGGGCCGGGUCGCAAUCCUAAUCCUGGGGCCGGGUCGCAAUCCUAAUCCUACACUCGGGUCCUCAUCCUAAACCUGGCCUCAACUUUGUAUCCUAAUCCUGCCCCUCUUUCCGAAUCCUAAUUCCUGCCUGACCGGUACCCGAACCCAAUCCCUAUUCUUUGCAUCCCUCUGGCGAACUUGACGUUUUUUAGGAAGAGUUUUCAGUUAUGAAGUCUAAGAUGGCCUUGCUUUGGGUAAAAUCCUUGCUGAAAUACUUCUCCCUGGAGCUAUGUUCCAAAAUAAAGUCACCUGUUAGUUCAGCCGUCCUAGCAUAUAACGAUAGAAUCCAGCUAAAUUUUACCCCGAAAACCGCUUCAGACAGUUUCGGGGUACCCGAAAACACUCUCCGGCUGACAGGAAAAUUAUCGGGGAGGGCCCCGAAAAGUUAUUCAGAGGGCUUCGGACACGGCCGAAAUUUUUGGGUACCAUGGUGAAGAACCCUGCUCCCGCGCUCUGACAAGCAUAGCCCCACAGCAUCAGCACUGCUGCAACAAGCACAGCUCCCACCACGUUGACACUACUCUAGCUACCGGCCUGUACGGAGGCAGGGGGCCCCCGCCUGUUUUCUGGCUUCGAGGAAGCCGACACCCGAUUUGUCUGUUUUUGUUGCCGGUAUUCACUCGAAUCAGAUUGUUCUCCGCUUGUGUAUGUGAUGGAUCGUCCAGGUUGCAGGCUGUCUGCCUCAUCGUGGUGUCGCGGGCGAGUGGGGAGUCCCUUGCUGGCGUAUAGGUGGUAGGCGUUACCAGUGUACGGUACUGGGUACGUUUGCUUCGCCUUUGCUGCGUGGAGGGUGUGGUUUGGCGAUGCAUGUUGGCGUCCUGAUGCCUAUUAUGUUGCUGCGUCGUUGAGUUGGGCGCCUCGAUUCUGGGGUUUAGCAAAGGUAAGCAAACGAGAACUAUGCUACCUAAAGACACAGGAGUCGCACAGAGCGGCAGGGAUCCUUAUGGACCAACACCGUCAAAUUCCGCCUGGCUGUGUUCGUUCCGAAGCAGACUGAAGCGACAAACGCUCGUUGAAGCGGAUCUCAACUGAGGAAGAACUCGCAUCACAGAGGUCUACGUAUCUAAUUGCACACUGGCUGCUAGUGCAAAUAGCGCGUCCUAAGGGAGGAAGGAUUGUUAUGUUCGAUAGACGGCCACAACAACAAAUUAUAAUGCUGUGGUUAGAAUGGCAGAACAUACAAGGGUGUUCUGUCAAAAUGUCCAUGGCUGGGAACGUGCUGAUGAUGGCGAAGGAACGGGUGCACCAUUGGUUCACCCAUAGCGCAGGAGUUCAGCUGCACAGUCCGGCGCCAACAUUCCGCGUUGGGUGCGCCAAAGCGCUACGACAAACAACCUGAUAACAUUACAUCAAGCCAGACAGUCCAAUUGGAAUGCUUUUGAGUCGACUUGGACAUCUGCGCAAGAAUUGCUCCUAUGCACUAAUGUGCAGAGAUACGUGGAGUUGUGCCACAACAAAACAAUGAAGACUGCAAAUUUUCUCAGAGUUGUGCAUACUGGCUUGGGAAUGCGGUGCGGCAUGAUGCGGCCAGCAUCUUCGCGCCUUGCAACUUUAGCUCAGUUUGCAUGAAUAUAACCAGUACAACAUCACAGUACUAGAGAAGCAGUUUGUUUGAGGAAGUACUUGAAAGCUGAACAACUAACUCCAGGGUGGGCCUCACUUUGAGCCAGGACCCCCAAAGCGGCUUGCUGUUGAUAACGUCUUGUUGGCUUAGAUGCGACGGAGCGAAGCGACCGGAGCUUCUAAGGCUGGUUCUGUGGUGCUGUCGUAUAACUGGGUCGCAGUGGCGACUUCAUUCUUGCUGCUCUCCUGGUGAAGUCAUUCUGCCUUCACACAGAAGAGCAUACAGCCUUGUCCAACUAGUCAGCGUGACAGGCUGUACUUGGACCCCCAAACCGGCUUGCUGUUGAUAACGUCUUGCAUGUUGAUACGCCUCCUGCGGACUUGUCCCCCAGUAGGGUCUGCAGAUUGCAUACAGAUUUCGUUCGGGUCUUAUUCAAAGUGUCCCAAACUUCGUCUUGGAAGACGCCCACAUUGUUAAGCGCAAGCUAGUAACAGCCCGACGACCGUUUGUUAUCUCUUCCAGAAUGGCACCCGAUGGUGCCCUGGAUGUGGAUGUGCAUGGGCCGGACAAGGUAAGAACGGGUUGGACUGCGUCUGACUGAAGAACUGGCAGGGUGCACCAAUGGUGCACUUUUCUCACAUUUACACCAAGUCGCGUUCCAUGCCUGUUCUAUUCCCAAUGGUGUUAACCUUCUGCAGAAGCAUCAAAAGCUGGCAAAAUUGACGGGGUUGGGCUUCACCAGGGACAUGGCCGAAGCCAUCGUGGAAACGCUUGGGAUGGACCCCAUCGGGCAGUCGGCCGAUGCCGCCAUCGCCAAAACAUUGUCUGAAGAAGGCUUGGUGGACUUGGUGUCAAUGAAGACCGUGGCUGGCGGUAAGAACCACUUCAGCCUAAUUUGGUUUCACCGCUUGCUGAACAGGACUGGACAGGACUGACCAGGACUGACCAACCACUACAGGGUAUACUUUAUCCGACGCUUGCACUCUUUGCAAUGGGUCUUGUUUUAGGUCGAUGCCUACGCCCAUACCAAUGGAAGUUUGGGACCCUGGCAUGUAACCGACUUUGUGAGCCGCUGCCUGUGACGCCGACUCCAUUCGGUUUUGUUUUGAACGAAAGGUGCAAACUUGCUGUUUUGUCACCGCCUGCUUUCUGUCUUCCUUGCUGGCACAGAGGUCGAAGUCAACGCACGGCUGGCGGAUGCGGAUUCCGAGGUGGCAAUCAAGUCGCUGAUGGCCCUCGCCCCGAACCUUAAAAGCUCUCCAAGCCCUCAAGCUUGCAAAAGCAGCAUGUGCCCCGACUGCGCAGCCCGCUGACGAGUUGGGCGAGGAUACGUCACCACGGCUGGAGAAAAAGCGCAGGACUAAUGAAGAGAUGGCCAAGGCCGUGUGUUUGAGUUUGGUUUGCUAUGGGACGCGACUUAUAAGCAGAACUUCCUUGUGUUUGAGUUUGGUUUGCUAUGGGACGCGACUUGCAAGCAGAACUUCCUUGUGUUUGAGUUUGGUUUGCUAUGGGAUGCGACUUAUAAGCAGAACUUCCUUGUGUUUGAGUUUGGUUUGCUAUGGGACGCGACUUGCAAGCAGAACUUCCUUGUGUUUGUUUGAGUUUCCAUGUAAGCAACUAUGGACAACUAAACCAUUCAUCCUUGGCCUGUUUUGCAGUCCUGUCAGUAUUCCCAAUUCGGCACCUGCAGCCUCAUUUUACAUGUAAAAUGUACAGCAGAACACCCAAUUCUAAUCCUCCAACUGUGUUCCCAAUCCUAUGGCAGCGAGCUCAUCCUAAACUUGCGAAAGCCUGCAAUCCCCGUCCUGUCGACCAGGGUCCCAUCCCCAUCCCUGGCCAGGGCUCCCAAUCCCCUCCUUGGUCAAGGUUGCAAUCCCCAUCCCUCAGACAGGGAUCCCAUCCCCAUCCUCACCCCCGACAGCAAUCCCCAUCCCAAAAGUAGUGUAGCACCCCUAAUCCCUAAUCCUCGCCCUGGGCCCCACAUCCCAUCCUGACGUCGUCAACCCUAUUCCCCAUCCCGCCUGGCCAGUACCUGCCCCCAAUCCCCCAUCUCUGCAACCCUCUGGCUGGGGAGUCUAACAUCAGAGUCGUCCAUGCAUUUUUGCUUCACACCAAAUGGUUGACACUCACUGCAAACAACACAACAAACCAGGGCUUGACUCAAUCAAUUCAUGCAGUGUUACUGCCCUCCUCAACCCCAACUGUUGUAUCCACUUCCACUGUUUAGGUGGUAGUGAAAACUACCGAUUAGUGAAUGAAGGGAGGCUAAAUGCCUCUGUGUUAAGGACGACUUGUACAGCAAUUUGUACGAUCCGAGAAUAUAGUCGUCAACGCGAAUUAUCACCAAUUGGUGCAAUCGUAACCCAAGUGGGUCUACCAGUGACAAGUGUCAUGAUUAUAGCAAGAGCGCUAUAACCCAGUAUCACGCGUGAUAAAAGAUAGGCAAGUGCCCAACGGUUAACCAAGUAAGAGUGAAGAUAAUGCCAAGUGGCGAAGUGCCAGAGUCUCGGGAAAAUUCCGAAGGUAAAUAUGCAAGUAUGCCACAACAACUAUCCCCCCUCUGGACGCAGCGUCCUCGCAGCGUUAGUGGCACGAGCCUUGACUGCUUGAAGUUCUUCUCUGGCUCCCGGCUAUUAUGUUCAUUAGAAUACCCGGUCCAUUUGACGAGGUACUCGUGCACCAGCCCCUUACAGCGUCUUCCUAGGCGGCUAGCACGAUAAUCAAGUCCCUCUUCAGCCACAGAACCGGCGGCGGUCCUGCAGGACUAGAAAGUGCAGAAGAACUGUCGCGAACAGUUGAAGAAUCCAACGCAUCCGCUGGCGCCUUGUAAGGCCGCAACAACGUUACGUGGAAGGUGGGGUGGAUGCGCAUAUCGCACGGUAGGACAAGCUCGGCCGCUGCUUUCCCAACCAUGCGCUUCACAGGAUAAGGACCCACCCAACGCGGCAAUAAUUUACGGGGUCCGACGGCUAACUGCCGCAGAUUUUUCGUACUUAAAAGCACUAAGUCGCCUCCUUUGAAGGUCACUUCGACUCUGCCGCGGUUGUAAUAACUAGUCGUACGGUCUUUGGCUUUUUCCAGACACUGCUUCGCUUCUGCAAUACGAGCAACAUACGACUUAAUAAAGGAUUUGGCUGCCGGGACCGGAACAUCAAGUUCACGUGAGACGGGAGUAGCUGGGUGGAACCCGUAAUUUAAGAAGAAAGGAGAUUGUCCCGUAGAGCGAUUGACAGCGCUGUUCAUCGCAAAUUCUGCAGCCGAAAGAUAGGUGUCCCAAACGCGAGAGUUGUUGCCAGCGCAGGUUCGCAGCAUAUCACCCAAUGUGCGAUUCAUGCGCUCAGUCUGACCGUCAGUUUGUGGAUGGUAGGCAGUAGAAAGUGCCAACUCGGAAAUUAGCCAAAGUGCCAAGGGCUCCCCAAAACUUGGCACCAAACUGAGGUCCUCUAUCAGAAAUAAUCGAUUUGGGAACACCAUGCAAACGCACCACGUUAUCAAAGGACAGUCGAGCGGUUUGCUCCGCAGUAACUGUCGUGGUGGUCGGUACCAAAUGUACCAUCUUGGUCAGGACAGCGUCAUAUCCUCCCUUGGAAAGUCCGACGACAUAGUCAAGCGACACACUCUCCCAAGGCGAAUCUGGAACCGGCAGGGGCUGAAGUAAGCCCGAUUGCUUACCAGAUUUUGUCUUCUGAAGUUGGCAAACGUCACACUGCUCAACAAAGGAAGCAGCAUCACGAGCCAUCCGUGGCCACCAGAAGUUGCGACGGAGCAACUCUAUAAGGCGAGUAGAACCCACAUGACCAGAAAGCGGAUCCUCAUGCACAUGGGAAAGAAUAUCACAGCGAAGCAAAUCAUCGUUAGGGACAACCGUUUAAUGUCGAUCACCAUCAGUGCGGACCCAAAGACUGCAGCAAAAUCAACCCCCGUACCAUGCAGUGAAGCGUCCAAAAUAAGCUCAACACGGAAAGGCUGAGAGUAUUUGGGAAAACGCAGCACUAUAUCGUUCGCAACAGCAACAGCACGUUUGAUAGCCUCAAAAGACGCAUGACAUUCAGCAGUCCAAAUGGUCAGCGGAAGAAAACGCACCCUUACAAGUUACAAGUGCCGCACGACUGCGGGGGGUCCGUCAAAGCCGGGAGGCCAUGGACUAUAUAUAUAUAUUGAAAGUUGGUUACAUCGUACGACCGACAGCGGUUUGGGUCCUGCCAACUAGACCCCUCCUCAUCCAGUCACCCAACAUCCGUAGAGACAGAUCAGCCACCGCCACCAUCUCAGCAUGCGAAACUUAGUCCAUCAACUAGACCUCAUCUCCACACCUCAGUAGCGUUAGUAAACCUAGACCUCCCGAACAAUGUCGGGGGACUGACCAGGAAUCGAACCCGGAACCUUCAUAUACACAAAGGCGCCACCAGACCAUUACAUGUAAGGCCCAUCAACAGUGCGGCAAGGGACGAGUAAUUGGCAAUGAACUUGCAAAAGUGAUUGGUAAGCCCUAGGAACUUUCGCAGUUCAAGCAAUGACGUCGGGACAGGCCAGUCACGCACCGCAGCAGUCUUCUUAAGGGUCCAUGCGCACAGAGACCACAUGGCCCAGAUACUCAACUUUGGACUUCGCCCAGUGGCACUUGGACUGCUUGGCGUAAAGCUGUUCCCGCCGCAAAACGUCGAGCACCAAACGAAGAUGUUGGAGGUGCUCUUCCUUCGUCUUAGGAUAGACGAGGAUGUCAUCCAGGCAGCACACGACAAACUUAUCGAUGUACGGCCUCAACAACCACGCUUGAAAGUUAGCAGGGGCAUUAACAAGGCCGAAGCUCAAAACCGUGUACUUAAAAUGACCGAAUGGAGUGCCAAAAGCGGUCUUAGGAAUAUCAGACUCAGCAAUGCGAAUCUGAUUAUAUCCCUGCUGCAGAUCUGUAGAGCUAAAGUAAGCAGAUCUGCGAAGCUUAUCAAGCAAAUCGUCUACACGCGGAAGAGGGUACCAGUUCUUAGUGGUCAUGGAAUUCAAUCCACGGUAAUCUAUACACAUGCGUAGAGAACCGUCCUUCUUACCCACAAACAAAAUCGGAGCAGAGAAGGGAGACGUACUCGGACGAAUCAUGCCUUUAGCGAGCAGCUCAGUAACCUGCCGUUUGACCUCAUCAAGCUCAAGAGGGCUAAGCCGGUACAUAGGGCAUGCGACGGGUUGGGUGUCAUGCACCAACAUAAUUGUGUGAUCCACAGGACGAACUGGAGGAAUACCCGGGAUCUCACGGACGACAUCAGCGUAUUCCUCAAGCAGCGCAGAAACCUCAGGGUCCUCCAUCAGCGAGCAAAACAUGGGACCAGUCGAAGAGCGGACCGGGAGGUGUAGCCGUUGGAUGAGGGACUAGCACCACGGGCUCCCCACUAGUGCCCACCUGCCGGACAAACGAAAGGCGCUCCUGGAGAUUGCACACCGGCCAGUUCAGCACAUCGUUGAACCAGCUGUAGCCUAUACCUGCCUUCAAUAGCACCACGGCCUGCUUCAUAUUCCCCGCCUGAUACUCCCACACACAUCUCGCAAAAAGUAGCCCUUGGAGGCUGUGUGUCCUUUCCGUACACCAAAAGCAAGUUGAGAAUCACAUUUCAUCGUCAUGCAUUGCCCUCUGCCAGUCCAUCCGUCGCCUCAUCGUUAAAGGAAGUGGCCGGACCCGCGUGUUUGCAGCAGCACAAAAACACGGAUCCAGGUCGAUGCCGCCUGGCGCAAAAAGCUCGUGCACCAGGUCCAAGAUGAAAUCUGGCGUGUACCAUUCCGAUGUAUUGCUUUGCAUGAACAGACGCAGGCCGCCAUAUUGCAGCGGCAGUGCAACAGGUGCAGCCAAUGCAUGCUAUCGACGUGGGUCUUGGACUUCACCCGGCCCCUGCAUUUCGACUCGUCAACCAUUGCAGGAUAUCCUAUUAUAAUUACAUGGGCAUUAGACAGGCAUGGAAAGCGACUUGGUGUAAAUGAGGAGAGAAGUGAACGCAUAGUGUACUCCGCCAGCUCCGCAGUCAGAACAACAUUCGUACCUUGUCCAGCCCACGCACAUCCACGGCAGCAACGUAUGCGCCAACAUAUGCCUUAACAGAGGAGAUAAUGAAAGAUCGUCGAGCUGUUUGACAAACAGCUAUUCAUGGUUGAACGGCCCUAUUUGCCUAAAAAACCAUGCUAACAGAUCUCCUUAUACUUCAUCUCCUUAUACUUCAUCUCCUUAUACUUCAUCAACAAUCGUCUCCUGCUAGCAAAAGGUAAAUAGGGUUCAUUCGUGAAAUUCACGAAUGAAGAAAUGAAAUUCACUCUUCAGAAGAGUCCCUUGUAGUUUGCGCUAAAAAAAGUGUUCGUUUUCCAAGGCAGAGUUCGGGACACUGUGAACAAGAUCAGAAUGUUUGUGUGUAUUCUGCGGCCUCUACUGGCGGUGUAUUCACAGGCUGCAGCCAGCUGGCCGGGAAGACGGCCGGCCGCAUCAUGCCGUACCGCAUCCCGAAGCCAGUAUGCACAAUUCUGAGAAAAUUUCCAGCUUUCAUUGUUUCAGAGGCUAUAUUGGCUUCACUGCGGCCUCAAUACAGAAAUACGGAGGGCCCUAUGCCAACCAGACGGAAUUGCACCAGUACAAGCCAGAGUUUGGGUAGCUUUCGUCGGCUUUCGUUCUCCCAGUGAGUAGAUCGAAACUGGCUGACGUGGUCAGGUUACAGCCGAAGGCACACGAAGUUGCGCCACUUCGUAAGGGAAAAUAACGGCAAAUUUACUCUCAAAAUUGCUCUUACAUGUUCCUGUUCGCCUCGUUAUUCAAAUGUAAGAAUCCCCUCAUAACUCCAGAGAGGAGGUCCCCAUAACACGGACAUUCGAUAUGAAAGCAGCAGUAUGGCCCACAAUAAGAUACAUUUACGAACACGCAUGAGAACAUUCUGCCGCCACAUCACUUAAGUAACAUGUAACAACCACACACACACUUAAGUUCAGAGUCUGUUCACGGAUGACCGGCCCUAUUUGCCUUAUAUUGCCACUUACUAGCAGGAGGCGAUUUCCUUGAUGGUGUAGUAUUUUGGAAAUCUGUUAGCAUGGUUUUGGAAGGUUUUUAGUUCUAAUAUAAUAUUGCGAAAUUGCAGUGCAUUCGGGCCUGUAGGCGGGCCGUAUUCCUGCAGUUUUAUGACGCGGCCUUUCGUCAAAAUAGGGCCGGUCAUCCGUGAACAGCACCUUCUCCGCUUUGGGAUUAUGCAUGAGGCCCGAGAACGGCAUGCUAUAAGCCUCAUGAGCACCAGACACGAGCGAUUACUGCCGUGUUGUUUUCUCCCCUCGUUACCAUCGAAGAUGGCCUGCUAAGUUGACAUUGCACAACUAGUUAGGCGGCAAACAUUUAAAUUGUACAAUCAAAUGUAAUGGUUUUGUUUACUUACCUGAUAAAAAUGCAUGGCUUCAGAAAUAAGCACACUGCUAUCGAUGCGGAAUUCGUUGCUUUCACGGCGCCCGCCGUCUAUGUAAAUGACUUGCCUUGGUACGGGGCGAGCUUCGACCAGGCCCAACUGCUAGUUUCCGAAGUCAUUGUGAUAAUUUAACGACAUAAAUAAUCGAUUUGGUCUAGACUAUUGUAAAGCUACAGGAGCAGUUUGCUAGGCCUCGCGUGCCGUCGCUAGCCCUGGGCUGCUAUCUAGGACAUAACUGCAGCCAUCUGAAGGGAAACUGGCGUUCUUUCCUGUGUGAAAGCUUAUUAAUGUCAUACACUGAGCUGGCAAAGGUUUCCCUCCUUGCGAUGUCGCGAACGUAUUUCGCGAACAGCAGGCGCAAUUACAUGGAGGCUUGCAUCCCCCUGCAUGCAGGCCUAUGACUCAUGACGUGGUCCUGCGAAGGCCAGUUCAGCAGGCAGCGGCACAACUUCUCCAGUACAAUCCACGGAACCGAACCCCGCCUGGAAGGCCCCUCUGGAAAUCCACACAGCCCUAAAAGGAGCCCCUUCCCCUAAUUACCUUCCCCCGUACCGCGCACGACAACGUACUCGUUUGACCUAGUACACACAUACUGAUAAUCUCGCCGCUGGUCCAGGCGAUUUGAAGUGAGCUGAACGCUGCCGACGUGCUUGGCGUUGCUUGCUGAACGAUUUGAAGGUAUCAAACCUCUGAUGCAAUGAAGUUGCAACUGAACAUGUGACUACGUGCCCUGCCCCCCAAAAUGCCAAGGCAUCCCGGACUUCUGGAACGGGUUCAUAUGUAGACAAGAAUGCAUAGCGGGCCACCACGCGGAAACCCUUUAUGAUGCAAAUGAUUUGCGAUAAGCUUAUAAAGGAGAUAUUGAAGAAUGUGCGCGGCCGGUGCAGCUGUCUACUCAACCAGAACGGUAGUAGGGUGUUCACACACCCCUCCAUAUGUUGGGAAGACCUCAGCCUCAGUAAAUAGCCUAUGCUUUGAUCUGAAUGAAUUGACACCUGCAACUCAUACACCCGUCAUGGAGACGUUGCUUGCACGUACCGAUAUGGCACAUGAUGUGUUGCAAGCAAAGCAGCGCAAACAGGAUUUGUUACUUAUAAGCGUAAAGGAUUGUGAGACUGUAUGAAUAAAAUGUUAGCGAUGUCUGAAUUAUUAUGGUGUCAAUAAAGUUACCAGCCGUGUACGACAACUUCGCUACUGAGGCACUAGCAUAGGCACAAUGCGUUCACCUGUCACUUUCAGGCUAAACUUUUUUAAAUGUUGCCUGGGUCUAGCUAGCAUGCGUUUAGUUGACCUUGGUAAUCGACUGCAAAACCGUAUCUGUAGCCUUGAAGCGUUCGUGGAUAAUAAUUUUUAGACAUUAGGAGUUUUCAAUGACAUACAUUAAUAAAAGUUUUACAAUAAUUACCCCUCGGUGUUUCCUGGGUCCACAUUUGGGUGCGUAUUGACUCUGCUUGGCUCCACCGCUACUCCCAGGACUGACGGCACCGGGUGCCAGGAUAGGUGAGUUACAAGGAGAUGCAUAUUUUAUUGCUCGUGUUUUACAUUUGCGGCUGCUGUUAUCAUAGAUUAAAAGCCGUCCGCGCCAGCCAUUACCUUACGUACUUGUCACAUUUUGUAAGACGUUCUAAUUUUAUUUGCAGGCGCACUGCGAGCCGCUCGAAUGCUGCCCAGCUGCAUCUUCGCGCGAUCUAUGCGCUUCGUUGAAGUGGGCAUUACAGGAACUGCGCCGCAAGCCGAGGAAGUCCAGCGUCGCAGUCCGAGGAACAUGACAGCACUCAGAAAAUUCAGGCAUCUUGGCGCGAUCUUGGCCAUAUCUGCGCUCACUGCGCCGCUGAUGACGCAAGCCGAGCUCGUUGCAUCGAUAACUUUCUACUCGGUCAAUGGGCCUUUUGACCCCAGCUCUUGUGAUUUACUAGACUCAUACUUGCCACCGUCUCUAAAUUAUGUCCCGAUCAACUUCUUCAACAAGAAUAUUUACCGAACCAACUGCAGCAUCACGAACUCCACGGGUCGCGUCAAAUCUAUCCUUACGUACAGAUCCCUUUUUGACAGCUUAACUUCACUGGUGAGAUUUCAUUAUGGUGUUCUGGACUAGCUGUGUCAGGAUGAGCUGUAGUACCCGCUGCGCGCAUCCGAGCAGGGCCACUCCAUUUUCGCAGUCGUUGUUACGUUUGUAUUUACGCAUACUAACUCCAUUCCCCGGGGGCGCGAUACUCCGCAAAUACAGAAUACGGGGUAGCAGAGUGGAUUUUAAUUACCGAUUGCAGCGGUUUACGCCUGGGCAGCAGUGUGUGUCUGCGUAUGUCUCCGCGUGCGUGUCGUAUGCCUGUGCCUGUGUGUAUGUAUGUGUAUGUAUGUGUAUGUAUGUGUGUAUGUAUGUAUGUGCGUGUGUUUGUGUGUGAAAGACGGGAUGUUUUAAGGGCACCGGACCGAAACCCAAGAAACCAUAAGGGCUCCCCGGCUGGGGCCCCGGAGAUGGGGUCAAGGGAUUGCUGUUGCCGUCACGGAGGCGGUUGGGACACUACGGGCUUUAUUAUCACUUGAUCUAUCAGCGCUUGUGGGAACACCUCUGCACGGCCACGAAUGUCGCACGCACACCCACACACGCCCACACCACACCACCACCACACACGUACACAGAACAUGCACGUAGCGAAAAGGGGCUCAGAGCAUGGCAGAGGCGCCGCUGGUUGCAGUGUUCAUGUCCCCCUCUCCCCGUCCGGGGUUGCGGAUGGAAGCGGGAGUCCAGCGGGACACUGCCGGAAUGGGGUUGGGGGGUGUGGGAGAUUGCAGCGAGCAGCCAGAGUAGAGAGCAAGCGGGGGGCAGAAGGGCAGAGGGCGGGCACCUCACGAGCACCACCAACACCACCAGAUCGGGCCGGAACACACACAAACACUCUCUCCAACACACUCCUACAUACAUACACAUACACACCGUAUCAGACGCCCGGGAACGAGGGUCAUUUCCUCCUCCCUGCCCACCCCUUGGCGGGAUGGUCUUCGGAUCCUGCGGUUUGGAAUGGUUGUGGUUUCCUUUCCCCACACCCACCCGCCACCCACCCCGCAGGAAAACCUCAUCAGUUUCGCCAACGCAUUGCGGGAUGACACGUUGUGGCUGGCGCUGUUCCAGUUGGUACUUGCUGGCUGCGGUGCAGAGGCCUUUUACACGGACCCAGCCGUUGUAGCGGGGCUAACUCAGAACAUCACAGUCUGCACCAACAACCCCACCUCCACCAUUCUUCCGCCAACCGCCGGCACCAGGUGCACGUACUUCCUGUCGCAACAGCUCUGUAGUCCGCCGCCGCCGCCGCCGUCGCCGCCGGGGCCGCCGGGUGCCAGCCCGCCGCCAUCACCACCGCAGCUGCCGUCACCCCCGCCACCGUCACCACCCAGCCCGCCAACCCCACCGCGACCCCCGCGGCCGCCAUUUCCCCCUGGUUUGGGGCCCUGUAUCCUCAUCACCAAAGCCAUAAGGUCCGCUAACUGGACCUCCCAAACGACCUGCACCCAGCUAGUUAAUGCAAUGACCAGCUUCUACGCAUUUAACGCCCAACUUUUGCCAGAUCGUCCUUUUCGAUGUAUCGACGACGGCUCGACGAACGGGCAAAUGAUCGUUGUGGGUACCGCAGCGAGUCGUGACGACGGGCGCCUCGUCGCCACCAACUUCGGCCAGAAGGUUGUUGUCGGGGCCACCAUUCGGGCACUUGGCGGCAUGCAGUGCAACUCCGUCUUCCAGCUGGAGGGUGGCUCCUGCGGCGUAUACGUACGGUAUGACAGUUGGUCGAACCCCGAUCUCUUUGAUUGCUAUCCACCGCCGCCGCCGGUGCCCAACCCACCGAGUCCUCCACCGUCACCCCCGCCAUCGCCGCCGCCGCCGGGGCCGAGCCCGCCGCCACCGCCGCCACGACCACCACCGCCCUCACCACCGCCGCCGCCGUCUCCGCCACCGCANNNNNNNNNNNNNNNNNNNNNNNNNNNNNNNNNNNNNNNNNNNNNNNNNNNNNNNNNNNNNNNNNNNNNNNNNNNNNNNNNNNNNNNNNNNNNNNNNNNNNNNNNNNNNNNCACGCAGUGAAUACAAACACUUGCCCAACUUUAACGCCAGCAGCUCAUUGCCGUACAACAAAUGACAUACCUUACCAUGUCGGUAAGGCGCAUGUUGUGGCGUGUCCCUCGUGUAAUGACCAUCCAUCCACCCACCCACCCACCCACACCGCAUCCACGCAUCCACCCACAUACACAUACACAUCAGCGUUAUUUUUUUGUGGAAUAUAUUUCGAACUCGGAAUGAUAUAAAUUGUUCGUGGUCCUGAAAAUUAAACAUAAUUAAAGUUCCGACCGUACAUGUUCAUUCCUCCAGCCAAAAAUGGACUGUCCAUGCCAAAGCCGCUAGAAUCUUACACGAGACAUACAUGUUAACCAUAUCAUAGUACUUUAAUGCCAUGGAUACUGCUACGAAGGUCACGCCCGAAAGUCAACGAGGAAUCGGACUGUUUCUGACCCGACCUCACGCUGCAAAACAUUCGGACCCGAAGCUCCCAAAGCGUGGAACGCAGAUAUUUAACUGAAGCCAUUAGCGACGUAAAUGAAGACGGUGUAGAGGUCGUAGGCAAUGUGGACGCAAUGCUGCAGCCAGCCGACGACAAUGACGCCACUCCGGUUGUCAACAGCGAGCGGGCCAAACAUCAACGAUCGUCAUAUGGAGACAAUCGCGAUGGGCCAGGAAACAGGUUGCGUUUGGCGGUUCCGGUUCAUUGCUGCUAUGCAUCAUUAUUUUUGCAACCCGGAAAGUCGUGUUGUGUUAUCUUUCAACGUGAUGCCAAACAAACAAUGGUGAACGAACUCUAUUCGAUCAGUGCUUGAGAGAUUGCGGUGUGCGCGUGUUGCGACAUUCCCCGAACCCGACGUUUGCACGAACUAAACUGUAACUCAUGGGGGGGGGUUCGGGGGUGGGCUCCGGCCCCCCCCAGCGCCUUACAGGUUCGGAAUACUUUUAUUUCCCCGACUAAAAACCUACUCCUCCGUUCGGACUGGAAAUUAACCGGCAAAAAUGAAAAAAGCGCUGAUACACAUACACAUAUACAUACACAUAUACAGAUACAUACGUACAUACAUACAUACCCAUACGUCACCAGUAGGAAAAAUAAAGGCCAGAGUUAAAUGUGGUCCUAUGGACUUGUUGUACCCAUAUGAUAUUCUGCCAGUAACUGACGGUUUAUAUUCUAUGUUUUCAUAACCUGACUUCCCAUGCUCUUCCCCGCCCUUCCUUCCCCCCUAGCCCAACUCCUCACCUUCGCCCCAAGAGUACACAGUUUUCCCCACAUCUUAGGCACUACGGGGCUGCAUGCACCACCACCUAAUGCAUGCGGGUUGGCGGAAGCCACAUGUGCCCCUGGUCCACGUGCACGCACACACUUCUCUCCCUAGCAACAGCCUCUCCCAUUUGCCUUUCUUAUGCGUUCUUUCCACCCCAGUUCUCAAUUUCUAGCUUCUUCACGUUCCUGGCGGUGUACACGACGUCCAUUCCGUAAUCGCGCUGUCAAUUCCGUCAUCUAGUACGACGCCUUCUGUGUCGUCCUGCGCCGCCUUUGCAUUUCUUUUUCUUUUCAGCCCCUGCGUUUUUACCACAUUCCAUAUGGUCUUUAUUCUUCUUCCCGGUUUCCCCAGUCUUCCAGCAUAAUAGUCCCUUCCAGCGGCAUUCGCAUGCAAUCUUUCCUUCACCGGCCGCUACUCACAACCUUGCAACCUCUCUGCCUCGCAUGUGCCCUUGCCCGCCGCUUCUGCUGCCUGGCCAGGUGAGUCCGAGUAGGUUCGAGCUUUGUUGGUAUAUCGCGUUGCGUCGGUCGGCUAGCCGGACUAGGAUGGUCGGGUCGAUCGGGUCGGGCGCGUGUUGGGGGUUUGGAGGAGCACAUGCAUGUCACCAGCAGCUUAUUACCAGCUUGUCAGCCAGUUCUGUCGGGGUUCCUCAAUUCCGCCGCCAGGCCGGCGAACCAUUUUUUCCUGCUUACGUCACCUCUUUCUCAACUCACGUCAGUCUUUUGCUCUUCACCGCCUUUACACCUACCUUUGGAUGGUUUUCCUGUUCUCGUUCCGCACAUUAUUUUAGUUUUGGCGGCAAGGUAGGUAGUAUCGUCAUGACUAUAUCAUCGCGAGGACUCUUCUUCACAAGCGCCCACCGUUUAGCUAUGCCUUCCUUACUUCUGGCGUAUCAGUCUUAUCUCGGCAUCAGCUUCACUCGUUCGUGGUUCAUCUUCCCCCCUAACCCACCACGCCUUCUCCUUCCCUCUUCCCCCUCGCACGCAGAUCCGCAUCACGAACCCCAACCAGGACGCCAUCUUCUCCAUAAAUUGCACCGCCCUCCGUGCCGCCGUGAAGGUGUCGCUGCAGGCAGCGGGGCAAACCCUGCUGUCGGACGUGUUGUGCACUGUGGGCUACAUCACGGGGGACACGUACCUGAACGUUCAGCUGCAGGACCCCGUUUCGGCGGCACAGGUGGGGCCGUGUGCGGGUGUGCGGUUAUGUAUAUGUGUGUGUGUUACAUGGUUGGGGGGUGCGUGACCCCAUACCUGUAAGACUACCCAUACGAGCCGAAGGCCCAAGGGGAAUACUACAACGCCUAAAAGCCACGGAGAAAAGGAAAAACACCGCACAUCAGCCCAGACUAGCGUCCAAAGGGGGUAAUUGAGUCUCGGUGAGCCCACAUACGUUCCAACAUCCUCGCCAGACGUGUAUGUAUACGGUUAUGUAUAUGUAUGUGUGUAUAUGUAUGUGUGUGAAUGCAUGUGCGUGUGGGGGGAGAGUGGCCGGUGAUACCCAGAGACUCCCGUAUUGAGUGAGCUUUUCAAGGGCUUGAUGUCUGUAUGUUUUUUUCGCUUGAUCCGGAAACCUUGAAGCUCCUAAAUCCUACGUCGUAACCCCCCAGGCCGGUUUUGCUCUCCAAGGUUUCUUGGCCACCCUGAUCACGGUGGGCCAGCUGCCGUGCAACAGCGUCCUUGAGGAGUCCGUCACCAACUCCUGUAAGUAGGCACCCAUCCAACUAAGCCUCAGGCCCCCUCGAACAGAUCUGAUCGGAAUCUAAAAAUCGGAUACUUUUUCCUCCUAUAUAUAAUCGUCAGGCAAUCUCAGAUGCGAUCAGAUCAAGCGCCGCGCUCAUCUCAUUCGGUUUGUUGAAGAGGCUUGAGGCCCCUACCCUGUCCCGCUCUUUGCUGGCGGUGGAUCGCCAUUCUUCGUUGACAGCACCGCUGGCCCCGUUACGUUACCCUCUUUCCCCAACAACGCCCCUAUGUUUGUAUAUCUGUUUGAGAGUUUUUUUCUCGCUUUCCUAAAGCCUUAACUCCGCUUUUCCUAAAUCUCCCCCCUCCACUUUUUCCCUCCUCCCUUUCUCCAUGGGUUCCUUGCUCGGCUCGGGCUCCUCCAGUGUUUUAUUUGUCAAUGAGCUGCUUUGGAAAGCCAGUUUUGUGCUGUCCGAGUCCCCCGCUGGGGCCACUCAAGCCGCCAAGCCCGCCAUCGCCCAGGCCUCCACGGCCGCCGCCGCGACCGCCCCCGCCGUUGCCGCCAAUCCUGCCUGCGGUAAUUACAAGACAGCCACCGCCGCCGCCGCCGCCAACGAUCCAGUCGCCGCCGCGGCCGCCACCAAUCCGGUCACCGCCACCGUCACCGCCACCGCCGCCUAAGAAGAAACGGAAGAAGAGGCCGCCACCGCCAAGCAAUCUGGGUUAAACAGUACCAAAGAAGGCCGCCAAGUGCUUCCGCCUCAACUGCACGGUUAUUGCCGCCGCCUCCAUCACCAUCACCACCGCUGCACCACCGCCCUCCACUGCCAUGUUGCAGUUAAUAGACCCCAACGAGCAGUUCCUGCUGACAGGGGAUUGUGAGAACGGGAGGGGGAAGGUUAAGGACAGGUAGUUGGGGUUCCAUGGCGAUGAUGUUGGUGGCGGCGUCAGGGCAUGCAGUACACAAUAACGGUGUGACACAGGUGAUCCUUCCGGCCAUCCUUCAUUCCUUGUGUGUGUACGUGUAUGCAUGUAGAUGUGGCUGGGUACCAUCUGGUGAUGUAUGAUGUGUGGGACAGGGGGCCAUAUCUUCACCCGUGGCCGCUACCCGGCGAAACCCUCCCUUCCCCGGUAUUUCGGAGCACCUUCAUCUAGUCACCCUAGUCAACUUCUCAGUGGAUCGCUUAGGUUCCGCACCCACCACCGGCGUCCAACGGAAUCUGCCGGAUCGACGGUGGCCCAACUCCAUUCCUGGUCAGCUCGUGAGUCAACUUUAUCGCAGGUCACCACGGUCCAUCGACUAGGGGCACUUUACCUUCCACCAUCGGAAGGAUUUUCGACCCCGAAAUUUUCUGGGGGCAAUGGUCCGUGCCUUACCAGUAAUGCCUAACCUGGGUAUAAUGUAUGUAUGUAUGCAUGCAUGUACGCUCGUUCGUUACAAUUAAUUUAUGUAUGGUAUUUGUUGUUGUUGUUGUUUCAUGGUCGUGGGUGCAUUCCCUGUACCUGCAAACCACCCUAAUACGAGCCGAGGGCUCAAGGGCUGCCAAAUCGCCUAUAAGCACCAUCCUACCUCGCACUUCCAACGAGACAAGUGAUGAAGUAUACUAACGACCAAAGGGAACGAUAGAGUUGUGGUGAGACCAUAUGCGUUCCAGCAUCCUUGCCAGGCGUUCAGGUUCCCACUUCAUAGCGUCCUUCAUAUGCUCGAAGCGUGGAAAGCCCAUAUCAGAUCUGAUUUCGUCGUACACCGGACAGUCCAGCAAAAUGUGUUUCUCAUCCUCGAUGUGGCUAUCAGUGCCGCAGCAAGGGCAUACUCGCCCCUCCCUAGGUAUAUAACGCCGUCCCUUACGCGCUCUGUUAGCCGCCAGUGCCCAACAGCAAAGCCUAAACUGCAUAAGCUUGCGAUUCGCUGAACGUGGGAUAAACAUUGUGAUAUGCGGGAGCACCUCCUUCCUGCCCGCUUGCUCGGCCGCCAGACCCAUCCAAUGCUUAUAUUUCGCCAUGUGGAUUCCUGGUAUGGAAGUAGUUGGCUCGCAUUUGCUUCGCAUUGCCUCGAUGAUAGUGCUGCUUCGUGUUGUCAACAUGCGCAACAUGUGUCCAUGUGCCAGCCGUCUGUCCGUAUGUCUGUGAUGUAUUCCGCCGUGUGACCAUGAAUUUGUGUUGUGAUAGAGUCGUACCCGUACGGGCCUUGCACCGGUUGUGUCUGCAGGGCCAUUGUGGUGGGUGACUAAGGGACGCUUUGGGGCUUGAGGGGUUGGGGGCCCCUCUUGAGGCUUGACCCCCUCCUUUCUCUUCUUCCUCUUCAUCUCAGCCCUUACUUGUCCCGGAACACAUCCGGACGUGAAAGAGAAAAGAGCGAGAAGGGGACAGGGGCAAUGCUGCAUGGCCGACCAGCAACAGCAGUUAGGGGGUUUAUCGGUUGAGUGUGGCAGCUGCUGUAUAAGGCUCCUUGGGGUCGCCUGGUAAUGCUGAACCAGGUGCCGCUGAACCACUUCUGCCGGAAUAGGUUUCUCUAAGUAAGGUUUGGGUGGGUAAGGCGCCUGGAAGAGUAGUAGCUGUACGAGCAGUAGCGAUUAAAACAAUGACAGCAGUAGCAGCAAUAGUAAGGGGGAAAAGGAGGAGGGUGUGCUGCCGCAAUAGGAGAACAAAAAGGAGGAGGGUGUGUUGCCGCAAUAUGGACUUACGAUUUGGUGGUGAGAUAGGCAGAGGAGGGUGGCGGUGAAGGAGGAAGAGCAAGGGGAAUCGACCCUGCUCAUGCGGGGGAUCGCGCUUCGCAGCCCCCUCGAUUGCCUCCGCUAGCUCGCGGAGCUGACAAACAGGACUCACUGGCCUGAGGCUGGUGAUCCGCUGAGCUGGUGGAGGUAAUGGAGAUGGAUUCUUGCGGUUGGCAGUCGGCAAUGGACGCCUCGGGCGUUCCUACCUAACUUAACCCUGGGAGCCUUCCCGGACGGUGCAUGCGUCCAACUGAUGGUGGGUACCGUAGAUCCCACAAAUAUGUUCUAUAGCCGCUGUCCGGCUAAUAAACGUUUAAUAGGGAAACGCCUUAGCAUAAAUUCACUUUGCGCAGAGUCACAUCGCAGCAGUACUAACGACCACUCCAGGGCGGGCCUCACCUGGCCGAAAAGACAUUUGUGCAAACAGUCAGACAUGUACUUGUGAUGUCGUUACAAGGUGCUUACCCUUCGAAUGUAUGUGUUUCGCUCGACGGCAUGGAUACUUUAAACCGUAACGGCCCGCUCAAUGAUAGGAUAUCCUUUCUGCUGAAGGAGGUGAAUUUCGGUGACGCCAUUUCACAGGAGGGAUUUCUUCAGCUGUACCGGGAGCUUAGGGCCAGUUAUGAGUGCCAAGAAAAUGCAUCACCUGCUUCAGACUACGCGGUCAGGAUUUUGUAUAAAGCAAUCUUCCGGGCGCCCGGAGUUUUCUUGAAAUAAUGUUUUGCUAUGCAGGGCGAGCAGGAUGAAGAGGUCAAACAUCUUUGUACACAGGCGAGCCUUCUUUUCGUGGCGCGCGUACUUUUCGCGGCGCAGGCGCAAGGAGGCAGAACAGUAUCCAACUUUGGCUGUCCAAUAUCACGGAUUGUUGCUGCUGCGGGCAUUAAGUAAGUUAUGCACUGUGGCACAUCUGCCGCUGUGGCGAAGCAGUCAAAUCUUGACACUCGCUACAGUCUUCUUGAUUUUUUCCGCGAGGUGAAUGUCGUGGUCAGCAAGCUUUCUUCAUACUUUGAAGCGCGUGGGGGUAGUUCGCGAUUGUUUGCGCAGCAGGCUCAGCUGAAGGAGAAUUCGGAGACUGUUGUAGUCAUGGGUUUGCUCGCCAAAAAGUACAAGGUUAGUUCCGUAGUUCUCUCUAGUCCCCGCUUGCGCCCUGCUAUCUUUCGGGUCAAUCUUGCAGGACAAUUUCGGCAUGCUUCUGCAUCAGUUAGACUUCUUUAAGCAGAUAGUGCUUAAGCUUGGGUGGAACGCAUUCCUUGUGCUACGGAUCAAGCUUUUGAGUUCCUUUCCCGAUGUCGUCAGGUACUUUCGAUAUGUCCGUAAAACUCAUUGAUUGCUUUACGCUCAUUUUACAUGUUGAUUAGAUUUAGAUCAAUCAGAUACCAAGUGUAUGUGCACCUGAUGCUUCUGGCGUCGUUAUGAUGGUAGCAUGGUUUCUAUGUACGCAGUUGCGUUGAACUUCUACCGUGCGUUUUCGCCAUCCUCGUUAGUCACGCCCCGCAGCUUCCAGACUGCCUUAGCCAUGUCAGUGGGGCAGAAUACCGUUCAGCACUUCUCAAAUCACUUUCAGGUAUGAAUUUGGAUAUGUCUUGGGUGAUGCCUAACCAGUAGCGAAUGGGGUUGAUUGUCCACGACCUCAGCGCCCAUUUCAGCGAGAAAUACAUUACUGACACACAAGACCUGCUGUCUGCGCAGUGCUUAUGAGUGCAUGUGUCUUGGAUGGGUGCGCAACCAGGGCCCCACAUAUCAACCUCCUUCCUGUUGCCAUGCCUGCAGAGAUAUGCAAGGCAGACUACAGCAGGGUGCAGGCGCGUAUUCCCAGUGUCGAAGCUCUGCUCUCUCAUGUCCUGACGUCUGCUGUUCCAGAAUGGCGGGAGGCGGCGUCCCAUGCCCAAUUGGAAUCAAACUUAGCAAAAAGUGCAACCGCAGCGGAAAAGUGCACAUUUCCGGGGGUUGUGGACCUUGUAUCUAGUAAGAAAUUUCUGGUGCAUUGAUACAUGUUUUGGGGGGCGGUGAUGUAUAUUUUGAAAAUCAAUGUUGGGGGAAUCUCAACGCUGCACACGCAGCUGCACUGUCUACGAUCUCCAUAAACUAAUUCACUUAGUUUUAAUCUAAAAGCGAUAAGUCCUUAAACUCGUUUGCGACUGGAGAACUUCCACUUCCAUGCAGGUCGUUUGCUGGAGGGCCUUGUCACAGAUGGCAAUCGCAUGCAGCGCGCACUUUCUGCGUUGGAGACGGAAUACGCGCAGCAUUACACACGCGGCGGCAGCGAACUCGAUGAAAGAGAGUUCUUGUUCACAGACUUCACAAAAUUUGCAUCGCCCCGUUUUUCACCACGGCACAUGCAGUCUGCGGUCAUGAAGCUACGUGCAGGCCCAUUACCUAUCCGCCAAGGGUCACUUUUGGGCCCCGGCGCACACACAACAGCAUCGUAUGCAAUAUCGCCAUCCUCGAUGAAUCCCAAGACGUCACUGCUGGCACGGAUGCAUUCGCCUUUACCAAAGCUUAAUCUCGGCGUUGAGACUGGUCCACCUGUAACGCCGGUCUCAGAGAUAAUGAGCACGUCUGCAUGGCUUCGUGGCAUAACUGCCAGCCUGGCAGCUGAGGUGGGUAUCCUAUGCAACUUCCAGUCGAAAAGUAUUGUUCUCAGUUCUAAAUGAAAUUCACGCACGGUUUCCUUUCGAAUCGUCGAACAUGGAUGUGUUCGCGAUGUUGCCCCUCUUGUUAAUGUGCAGCCGUCCCCAAGCGUAAUGAGGUAUCUUGCGGAAGUGGCGGUACCUCCUGAUGGAGAACAAGGUGCCUGCGUGACUGUAACUCUGUCAGCUGCAGAGCAGCUGAAUCAGAGAGUUCAAGAGUUGGUGAGCUGCAUCAUGCCAGAAGAGAAAAUUCCUUCCCUUUUGGGUUCAUUUCCUUUGUUGCAACCGUCGUUGGUGUCAGAGCGGCGUAUUGAGGUCACUAAGGUAUAUUACCUUAGCCUGGAGCGCAUCUUGCAGGCCGAGGAGAAGAACAACGGUGUGGCAGGUGUUACUUCCCUCCUUUCAGCUGGCAAGUUCCAUCGCGCCUUAGUUGCGUGUUCUGCCGAGGUGGUGACUGCAUGCUAUCGCAUGGUUUCUUGUACGUUCCCAAAAGUAAGAAUCCCUAUGGCGCAAUGUUAACGCUAAGGAAUGUCAUUUUGCUUCUUUUGACAGUAUUUUGUCUGUUCUUGGCCUCAGGUGUUGGAUGCAUUACAUAUCAAGGCGUUUGACUUGGCCAAGAUGAUACAAUGCUUCGUCAGGAGUAUUACAACGUUGCCCCGGUCUGUCAUCUCUGUUGGAGCCAAUGCGUGGGGAAAUUCAAGCUUAUUGGGGUUGAUUGAAGCGCACUAGAGGCUCGGUAGCUGCCAUUCUCGCACUGGUAUGCGUUGUGCUCAUGAGUUCUGGUUUUGUGAGGACUUGAAAAGGUCAAGGUCUAUUUGACCUGUGGUGUGUACCCUUGGUGGUCAUGCUUGUGAUUAUUACGCCACCACAGUGACAGCCAUGUCGCUUUGAACCGUAACUUCUAUGCGAUGUGGACUUGUUCGCAUUAUAAUGCCAUGACUGCAGGGAUCUCAAACGGCACCUUUUCCUCGUUGAAGAAAAAAUCCUCGAAUCCUUGGCGUGGGAGGCGGAUUCUCCACUCUACAGCCUCAUUUGCAGCACCGUGGCCCAGGAUGAACUUUUGGAAGAGUGUGCAACUUUUGAGGACGACACCAGUAAGCUAGACACAGGGGUGCUGCAAUGAAGGCAGGCUGGCUAAGGAUUUACGUAAUAUUAACGGAUCUGUGACUAAGGUGCUGCAAACAGGCAAUGCUGAUAAUCAUUUGAUGCUGUUUUCUGCCCGACACAGCUGACAAGACAAUGCAGGCACCUAAGUCUCUGGUGCUCAUCCCCGAUACAAGUGCAUCACCCCUGUCAACGAAGAGACCACAAGACUCGAACGUGCUUGAGUUUUCUCCGGUGAAAAAAGGUAUGCAUAACAUUUAACCUAUGAUCAUACUAGCGGUACCAAUAUUAUAUUAUUACUACGUAGUAGUAAUAUUGAAAGGCCUUAUUACAGCGCUUUUCUUGUCUUCCCCUAAAGGAGAACUCGGUCCUAAAGGGGAUGAAGAACUUCAGGAGUUCCCCUUUAUUCAUCCCCUAAAGGGAUUAGAAGUACCAGUAUUUGUGGUUAAUUCAAAAUUAACAUAUGAUAGCAAGGUAAACAAAACUGCCUUUACAAUAUCAAUGUUACCCAUUAUUUUUACGUACCUUUACAUAUAUAUAGCCGACAUCAACUAUAUAAAGAUUGCCCAGUGUUGAUAAUGUGAAAUAACAUUCACGUUAUCAAUUUUGGACAAUCUGUGUCUUGUUUUCAAAUCAUCAUAUUAAUCUGACUUGUCCAGUGAUAAUUUCAGUAGUUUAUGGUUGGAGCGAUAUUUUUUCUUUUUUGCUGUGGUUUUUAGCAAUAUUAAUAAGAUUCUUAACAUUACAGUAUUAACUUUAUAGGCCGCCAAUGAUCUGGUAUUGGAUGGCGUUGCUAAUAAUUCUUCUUCAAAACCUGCAAUAGAUUAUCAAGUUUGAAUGCUUAAUCAUCUGCCCACAUAUCGUCCUCCUGGAGAUUAGUAUUGCCAGGUUGGCAAAAUACUAUUGCCAGGCUGGUCUUAGAUUACCGCUCUCUUCUUCCCUGUAGCCCGCAUGGAGGGGAGCCAGCACGCUGUUCAUCGUUAUUUGCGAAAGCUUCCACCUUGUAUUGGAGCCAAGUUCGUAGAAUCCGCUCACACAGAUGGUUGCGCGGCAGCAUUAAACCAUUUCUGUUGUAAGGUAAGAAAAUGCUAAAGCAAAGCACGAAAAUUAAACCUGUUGGUUUACUUGCAUGACGCGAGCUUUGCUGCAGGUACUGAAGCUUGCCGCCUUCAGGCUUGCGGUCUUAUGCGAUAACUUUGACUUCAGUCCCUUGCAACGUCUAGAUGUCAAUACAAAGGUAUGGUUAUCUAAGCAUUCCGAGCCGCUUUAUUAUGGCAAUACUAUUACUUGGCCUGAUUAUCAUGUGUGUAGGUGUAUCAGACCAUCGAGCAUGCUCUGUUCUUCCAGACACACUUGUUCUAUAAUCGGCACAUCGACCAGAUAAUCCUCUCGGCACUUUAUGGUUUUUGCAAAGUUCACAGGCUGGCCCAGGUUUCAUUUCGUGAAAUAAUCGCACAUUACCGCAAGCAGCCUCAAGCACAACCGUCCAUAUUCCGUUCGGUCGUGGUUGAGCAGUCAAAUCCAAGCUUGCAGGUAGGUUGCCAUCGCUGCCAAUGCUACUUCGCUGUGAGGCAUGUAAAUGUGCCUGACGGCUGAUGGUAACUUUUGAAUAACAGCGUACAAAUGGUGGUUUUUUCCAGGUGGGGAGGCGUGCCGAUAUUAUUGCGUUCUACAAUCAAGUCUUUGUACCUUGUAUGAAGUCUUUUUUACUGCGGAGUGGUAAAGGAGAGUAUCCUGGGACCAUUGGACCUACCAUCGGCAGCCCUGACAAUGUUACUGGAGAAUUGAAGGGCGAUAUCUCGAUAAGUUGUGGAGCGCCUGCAAUGGAAGGCGAACUGUCAGCAGCUCAUGACAGUGCGGGCAAGAUGACGCAAAUUAUGAAACAGUUAGGGCUGGAGGCCCUAAGAUCACCCGGGACAGAACAUCAGAGGAGCCAUGCUGGUAAUAGGGGGGUGCUUAUGCGUUUUGGUGUGCCUACAGAUAAUGCAGUGGAUGGAGUUCAUGUGAUGGAUUCAGCACAGAACUGUGCGGCGUUACUUACCUCAGCUCAUGAAAUGGAAGUGCGUGCUGGCUUGAACACGUGCACACCUGGGAAGCGAACCGAGCACCAAAUACCAGAUGGCUUAGCGGCACUGCUGCAGGCAAGUUCUUUAUGUAGUUGCAUCAUAUAAAUUUGAAUCAGCAUCACAGGAGCACGUCUUUGUUGCAAUACGUACCCCGCAGGCACUGGACUCACAGCAAGGUGGUGCUGAUAAUUGUGGGACUGAGUCGCAGCAAUACUGUGAAGUGGGAUCUAGACUUAACGCUGGACCUGGAUGGGUACUUCGCCCUGUUGGCCUUGACGGCGGUCCCAAGAGUUGUACAGGCUUAGACCAAAGCUUUAACGGGCAGGCAGCUUGUGCUGGCCUGGAUGUAUUUGAUGAUGCGGAUACCUACGACUGUUCACAAUUUCAGAAGACCUGCAGGCGCCAAAGGACGCCGAAUCGGAAGCAUGGAAGUGACUGAGUCUGAACAUAGUAAACUUUUGCAAAAUUCGGUGAAUUAUUGCAAUCCUUACACAUGAAUGUAUGAAUGAAAUGAGAACCGAGGACGGUAACCAAGCGUGUAGGGUUCCUGCCACUUCCUGGCCCAUGUACAGAAUCAAAACCAACUACCGCGAUUCUGGAUGCCUGCCUGAGAUUUUCCGGGCCGACUCCGCAAUUCGUCGAAAUUGCUCGAUAGAAGGGUUGAAAUUGGCACGGGGUCUACACCUGGGACAAGUUAAAUUGCCGGGACAGGCCCUUGAAUUGGCCUGACAGGGACACGAAUUGGCCUGGCAGGGACAUUCCGACAGUCAGAAUUAGCCUGUCGUGGUGUCGAAUUGGGCUGUUCGGGGUGUCGAAUUAGGGAAGCACAGGAAUUGUGCGACCGGGGCAGUCCAAAGAAUUGCUCUCCCCGACCUUGUGUCCUACGCUCUACUGAACUCUUUGUGAGUCUGGAGCCCACUGUAACAACCACACUGCCUCGAGGCAUCCCUAGCCCUGGCGGUGAAAUGAUAGGAACUAGCCUAGCCCGCACAAGUUCCGCACAAGUGCGGGGGUGUCCAUAAAAGCUGGGGGGUCCAUGGGUGGUAAAUCGUUUUUAGGGCGGUUACAUGGUGGACCAUCAUCGUCCACCCUCGUCCGCUUGAGCACGAAGCGCCUUAGAGCAACGUGCCGGGUCUCCCGGACUUCCGAGAGGAACCUGGCUACUGCCAGGGGUGGGGCCUCGGUGGUAAUCGUGCGCAUGUUGCACCCUUGAAACACGAGAUCACGUUCAUACUUAGCCCGUGUACUAGUGUACACCGGGCAUUCCACAAAGACAUGCAUUUUGUCUUCAACCGGCCCCCAGUCACAAAGCCACCAGGUGCGGGCUGUGCGCUCAUGGCCGUUAGGUCGGUUAAUCUCUAAAUCCCUACAGCCUAAGCGGAAACAUAUAAGCAUUUGACGAAAACAUUGGGGCAUGGCGAUUUCAGGUGGUCAUUAUGGAUUUCAGCACGAGCAAUGAACCCUGCCUGCUCCCCCGUGCCCCUUGCGGGCAAGCAACAGAGAAUCGGGUGAGAGACCGAGCUUUCUAUUAGGGCCUGGUGCCUAAAUAGGGAGGGGUAGGGUCUGUGCAGGGUUUCCGGGUUUCCUCGGUCUUCUUGAACCCUCACCACAAGAGCCAGUCUUCUUAUGUGUUUCAGGCUCAGUGCUCAAACUCGCGUGACGGAGCCUUGACCCGGCUGCUUUGGAGGGGACAGAGGCCCCUUAUGCCCCUCUCCCGUCUGCGGGAGGAGCUUAGGUGGUCUUUCCGUUGGGGCUGGGCAGCAGUCCCUGGCCAGUGUCAGGCAUGGUCAAAUACUUGCACAACACACGCACACGCACGCACACACACACACGCGCGCGCGCACAAGCUCACGAUAUUGAAUUGAAUUAUUACAGAAUGGGAGGCUUCUGGGCCAUUUGAACAUAUUGUCACACAAGCUCGCGAUAUGCCAGCUGAGCAUUCCCGUGCCUCGAAUGCCUUGGUAAAAAACUUAUUGCGGACAUACCCAGCUCAGACAAUGCACGGCUAAUAUCAGGGCAGCUCCAAUGAGUGCUCAGUAAGUUUGUCAUAGCGGUGGCCAGAUCGGAGAGCAAUGGUUGGUCGUCGGCCUGCACCAGCUCCACAAGCGUCUGUGCAGCGAUCUCAUCAAACUUGCGUGGUCUGCGUGUUCCUGUUUGUCCUCUAAGCGGCAGGACCUCGCCAUUCGCCAGGUAGGAGCAUGCACAGUCCUCUCGCAAGGUCUGUGCCCGAAAGCUUCAGCUAUUUGCGCUUGCGUGUAAUUCUCAUCGAAAUAGAGGUGGCAAACACAUUCGCGCACUUGUUUGCUGUAGUAGUAACGGUUCAAUACAACUCCAAUUGUGAGAUCCGUCCUACAAACUGAGUCACGUAUGCACACGUAUGUAUUCGCAUAAAAAGAAUAAUUGAAAUUUUGCGUGUUCCUUGCGAGUUGCGAGUUGCGACUUCAGAAGUAAGCAAGAGUGCAUUUCGCCUCGCAUCCCGCAAUUUGUUAUGCAAGCAGCCAUAAUGAAUGUAUUGACUCAAGGAUCAGUCUAACACAACGAUAUCGGCGAAGGUCAGGAACACCAUUUGAGGUAAUUAUUGCUUUUCUUUACAGCUUAAAUUUUGCGCAAAGCGGGCAUACUUUCGUAGAUGGAAAUUGCGACUGCUUGACAGAGGUCACAUAUACCCCGCUGGCGGACGGUCCCCUGUCCGCAACGCCGUACAUCCUGACCGUUCCAGCGGACGCCUAGCGGACGGUCAUGGAAACGAUGGUCCAAAGCUCCAAAACAUCUGUAUGUAGAUGAUUCACGAGACGCUAAUAAUUAAUGCUCCAGCUUGCACUCCUUGGCAAGCAAUUAACGCGCAAAACACUCGCCAGGAGAAACUAACCCCAAAAUUGUGACGCACAUAGUCAAAAGGCUUCUAGCAUAAAAGGAGAAAGCAAUCGAAAGAAAAAAGACAACAUCCCAAGGCGCGCGGCGGACAUUCUAAUGACCUGUUUAUGUAACCUGCUUAAAUAACACCAACGCACUGGAACAAUUAAAUCAUGCAAUAAGGUCAUUGCAAUGGCCACAAGCACUGGGCAUUAGUGAAAGGGAUUCAGCAAAAACUGACCGUCACGCCCAACACGUCGUUCCAUCCCUUUGUCGGCUCUGAAUGGCACAAUGAAUGCUCUACUGGGUAAAUGAUCAUUUGGCGGUGGAAAUAGGCCAUUGUAUGGCAUCCGAGCUGGCGCACAGCUUGCGCAUGUCCCCAAGACCCAACACGGCACCACGCCCCGCACCCGGUUAUGCCCUUGUCCUGCAUUCCGCCUGCCAGCCUAUCUGUGCAACACAGCGCAUGGCGGACAGGCCAACCAAGCCAUACCAAGGUUUCAGUGAAGACUGGGGCAGAGGGGUGCAAAGUGGUCCUAAUCCUCUAAUCCAGGGGGUGGGUACCGGUCAGCAAUCCUCUAAUCUCAACAGGGUUGGACCACUUCUAAUCCCUAAUCCAGAGUGGUGGUCUAAUCCAUAUCCUAGGGUCGGGGUCCUAAUCCUAAUCCUGUGGCCGAGUCCCAAUCCCAAUCCUGGGGGGGUCCCAAUCCUAAUCCUGGGGCCGGACCGCAAUCCUAACUCUGAGGCUGGGGUCCCAAUCCUAAUCCUCUUGGUCGUGUCGUAAUCCUUAUCGUGGAGCUGUUAUCGUGUGACUGAUUCGGUAAAACCUUAAUUUUGGCUGGGGGGCCCAAUCCUAAUAGAAGGGUGCCGUGACACGGAAACACACAGUGCCAUACAGGCGCGAGGCGAUGGCAAUGCAAGUGCGUAAAAAAACCAAUGCAAUUUUACACCGGGUAUAUGCUCAAACGAAGUAAAACUUGAAAAAUAAAAAGCAGGCUGACGAAGCUGCGCAUCCUGGCGAUUUUUGCAGUAUCGUGCCAUACGAAGAGUUUAAGCAGGGAUACUGCGUCUAAACACCUUGAUUCAAGCAUCUGCAGAUGCGACUGUGGGGCGGUCGAAGAUAAAAUGCACGUUGAGAGAGGUGAUCCAAUGGAUCACCAACCACACUUGCAGCGCGCCAGAGAUCUUCCAUGCCAUAAAUACCAUUCUGUGUUACUGUCUCCCUUAACUGGUUCUGGUGGCGGAGGAUUGGCUGACCCGAUGGUGCUGAACGGUGCGGUUUGGACGAUUUUUUGGCGAGAAUUGCACCGCUGCCAAGGGCCUUACACAGCAGGAAGAGCAAGCAGCCAAGCCUAUCAGUGGCCGCGCGGCCCAACCGGCCAGCAGGCCGCCCGUAGCCACGGGGGCCGCGCGGCCGACCGCGGCGCGACACACCAGACAGCCAACAGUCCGGAACACACCGCGGAAGGGCGCCAGCGCCCAACACCAAAAAACCAAAACAAAGCUAACCUAAGAACAGAAGCACUGCAGCACCCGCGCGCCCCAAAGACCAUCGCACCAGACAAAGCCCGACCGACCAGAAACGACCAGGCACCAACCCCAAGAGGUGUUCCCCCUCAUCCCGGAUGCGGGCGCCUCGGCCCGCCCCCUGAACCACCCCCCUCCCGCGCGCGUGCUGCCUCCCCCUGCCACCAUGCUGAGGGGGGGAGGGCGCCUCUCAGGAGCCCGCCGACGCCAGGCCGAGCCAAUCAGUGCUGCAUCUGGGGCAAGACUGGGGAUAGCGGAAAAAAGGAAGCAAGGGGCUGACAGGAAUAGGGCGGGCGGGGGGCAAGUACAGCCUGUCACACUGACUAUUGGACAAGGCUGUAUGCUCUUCUGCGUGAAGGCAGAAUGACUUCACCAGGAGAGCAGCGAGAAUUAAGUCGCCACUGCGAACCAGUUGUACGACAGUACCACAGAACCAGCCUUAGAAGCUCCGGUCGCUUCGCUCCGUCGCGUCUAAGCCAACAAUUCUGUGUUACUGUCUCCCUUAACUGGUUCUGGUGGCGGAGGAUUGGCUGACCCGAUGGUGCUGAACGGUGCGGUUUGGACGAUUUUUUGGCGAGAAUUGCACCGCUGCCAAGGGCCUUACACAGCAGACCGAAGAGACAUUUGCUCACUGGCGAGGCCCAGGCUGCGGGAGACGGAGAGUUUCGCCUCCCCGUCGCGCCGCGUGUAGUGCUGUACCAUGGCGUCGCUGCACCACCAGCCGUGCGCUUUGCGCAGGUCCUCAGGCACGCCGCGGUCGGCGGCAGUGCUAUUUCCUCCUAUGCGCAUGGAAUGCGCAGUGAUGCGGCGGGUGAUCCCCGCCGCCUGCAGGGUCUUGUUGAGCCGGUGGCAGAAGGCAGGGUACGACAGGGAGUGGAUCGGCUGGGCCACCGUGCCUGUCAGGGGGCCUGACAAGUACCCCCCGGCCCUGUUCCACUGGACCGGUCGCAAAAGGGGCCCGACGUCCUCGUCCGGCGUGUCUGGGCGGCGUUUGUACCGUCCUAGGGUGAGGAGGCGCUCUGUCAGGCCCACGGGGCAAGCGGCACCGCUGACGCGGGCGAUGGGAACCCAGUGACCCUGUCUCUGCUGAUCGGUCUUGGAUCGAGGGAUGAAAACAUCCAUCCCAGUUGCCGUGAUAACCAGAAGGUCCUCGUGAAUGCUUAUCUCCGCAGCAUCGUCGAACCGAAAGAACCCCGUGAACAUGACCACGAUGGCUGUAACGGUCAUCAGCUGGUCAAGGGGCGGCUCCGGCCCACCGACCAGCCGGGCCAGCACCGUGACGUCCGCCGGCUCCAGGGCGUCGCGUUCCAGCUUACGGCCUUGGAGUUGCUUUUCGGCGAGGUCGCGGACGAGCUGCAGGCAGGGUGCUCUGUAGGGGACGCUCUGCUGGCUAGGCGGAAGUAGGAGCUGAUUGCUGCACUCGCUGUACGAACCCGUCCAGGCCCCACCUUAUCUUCCUUGGACAAGUUCAGCAGGGAGAGCAGAUAGAGCGCCACCGCCUCACCCGGGGUGUCGUAGAUGCUUCCGGGCAGGCGCCUGGCCACCCACCACUCGCGGAAGGGUUCCCAAGACCGCGCGUAAUCAUUGGACGUCCGCGGGGCGAGUGUCUGACCGGCCACCUGGGCAAACUGAGUCGCCAAGGUGGAGAGCUCCGUGUCCACCUCCGCGCCGAGAGCGACCAAAAGAGCCUCAGCCUAGGCAUCUAAGUCUGUGCGAGGGGCGCGAUCGGAUCAGCGGGAACACGGAUACGGUUGAUGUUAGAGGCCGAGAAGUCGACCAGAAGGGCCAAGGUGGACCAGCGGGAAGCGCCUUUGGGCAGGGGGCCCCCCGAGGUGCGGGCCAGAAAGACAUCCGCGGCCCGGCCGAGCAAGCGAACUCCACUCACGAAAGGUAUGAACCAGACCCCGUCGGCCGUGAUAAAAGGCCACCAGUCGCGAGUAGGCCAGAAAGGCGCGACAAGGCAAAGCCGGGACUGGCAGGCCUCGGCGUGCUGCAGUACCCUGAGGAGGAGGUGAAAGGGCGGGUUUGCCCAGCACCUGCGCCCCCAUGAGAACCUGAACGUGUCGACUCCGGACGUCGUUGGAGUGAAAUAGCGGGAAUAGUACACGGGGAGCUGGAAAGUCGCGUGGGACGCAAAUAGGUCGAUGUCGAAGGGGCCCCAGAUGUCAUGAAGCCUGCGGAAUAUGCUGGGCUUCAGCAUCCAGUCGUCAGGGUCUUGCAGUUUCGAAAGCGCAUCGGCGAGCUGGUUCUGGCCGCGGGGUCGCCACUCCGCUUGCAAGCGGAUAUCCUGCUCGAAACAAUAGCUGUGCAGCUCGCAGGCGACCUUGUGGGAGUUGUCCGCUUUAGCGGAGCCCUUGUUGACGACAUUCGCUGCAUUAAGGUUGUCGGUGGUGACCUUAACCGACUGACCUGAUAGACCGGCUGGGCUAUCGAAAGAUCGAAUCGCGUUCAGAAUGGCCUGGAGUUCCUGCGGGGUAGACCCCAUAGCACUGACGUCGGGCGUCCACUCGCCACGCGCUGGCGCUAGCUGGCCAUUGAGGAUUGUCCAGGCCCCCCAACCUCCGAGGGACUCGGAGGAUUUGCCUGCGGCGUCGCAAAAAAAAGAGGGAAUGCACUACGGACGGAACCCACAGGUGCCGACGGCCGUUAAACCGAUCAAAGGACGACUCCCAGAAAGACAGCUCCUCCCGCGCGUCGUCAGAGAGGGAGAGAUGGGUUUCCCAGGUCUGCCGAGUUUCAAUAAGUUGACCGAGCGCUCGGGUGCGCAGCCGGGCCCAAGGUCCGAAGGCCCAAGACAUGGCCAGGAGUUGGCCUUUAAUGGAUGCCAAUAGGCGGGCGGUCGAGCGCCGCGCCGUGAGCACACCGUUGAUCUCAGAUAAGAGGCGGUCCCGCUUGUUGCCUGGCACGAUGAAAACGCCGUCCUUGGUAUCGAUAAGCAUGCCCAAAUAACGAAUGCAAUGCUGCACGGCCCCCAGCAUAGAUUUCUCUUUAUUGACCAGGAAACCGAGCGUCUCCAACUGAGCAACCACUUCGGCCCUGCGCCGGACCAAGUUGUCGGCGUUCUGGUCUGCGUGAACCUGAUCGUCUAUGUAGCCCGAGCAUCGCCAGCCGCGUUUGCGCCAGGGGCGCAUGACCUCUCGCAUGAGCUUCGUGAACGCCCAGCAAGCGGAAGCGAGGCCGGAAGGCAGUUGUGUGAACACAUAGAAGACCCCUCUCCAGCAGAAGCCGAGAUAUUCCCAGAACCUGGGAUCGAUAUCGAGGUGAUGAUAGCCGCUUUUAAGGUCCAAAGUAAAAAGAUAAUCGCCUGGGAGUAGCCAACCAGGAACCGCCUUCAAGUCUUCGUAGCGGAAGGAGGGGACGUGCAAAUAAUCAUUUACCAGCCUGCCGUCCCAAAUAAGCCGGAGCUUGGUUGCCUGCUGCAUGACCCCCAACGGGCAAACCACGCGGGGCUGCGACGGCCAUACGCGGGCCGUGCCCGACGCCACCAGAUCUGCUACGGCUUUGUCCACGAACGCGGUGUUGGCGGUUGCCCAAGCGUGAUUGCGGCCGGAGUGCUGGGGGGGGAGGGCUGGAGACCCAACGGAGUGGGAAACCCGACGUGAUCCACGAGAUGACCAGCGUGUUCACAACCCAAGCCAUCCAAGCGCCUUUCUUGCCCGAGAGGCGUCCCCUCAUCUGAGGCGGCACGCAAGGCGGACCCGCUACUGGAGUCGACCGAGAUCCCGAGGUGUUGUCGAAAGUAGGACUAGAAAACUCCCCUUUAUCCUUCCAGAAUUCACCGGGGGCCUCAACCUUCACACCUUCUGGCGCCACCGCGGGGCGGGCGGGUUGUUUCCGAUGCAUGGCCAGACUUGCCGGAACUGGUGUGGGGUCCAGGUUUGGCCGACGGGCAGGGACGGGGCCCGGUGCGGGCCGUUUGGGGGCUGGUAAGUCUUCGGGGGCUGCGGUAGGUGGGCCGCGCGGCUGACCUAAAAGAUGCUGCCCUUUGAAUUGGCUGGCGUUGUGACUGAUGGACAGCUGGACGUUUUCCACAAGGCCCGGACUCGAGAGGGCCUCUACCCCUAGCUCGGACAGGAAGGCAAUAGCAUCAUCGUGCGAGAACGAAUCCAUGGUUCCUCAGGCUGGAAAUUACUGGCGGCUAUGAAGGCCUGCAAGCGUGCACCGGACAGACUGUGGGAGACACGGGCGAGGCGAGAAGCGGAGCAACGCUUAAAGAGUAAGACAGGCAAAAAACGGGUCCCCAGCCGGCCGGCUGCCAAGGCGACUUGAGUGGCCACUUGGCCUGACGCGAAUUAUCCGAUAAGGGAAAAAAAACGGCAAAUGCUGCCACAAAGUGAACCCAUGCGACGGUCUGUUCGCAACCUCAAAAUGCGAACGCGAAAUAAAGGAGAAAAGCGGGAAGGCAAAACACCGCGAGUAAAAAAGGUCAUCAACGAAGCUUACAACUGUGCACGCGGGCGCCAACAACUGCGCACGCGGGCGCCAACAACUGCGCACGCGGGCGCCAACAACUGCGCACACGGGCGCCAACAACUGNNNNNNNNNNNNNNNNNNNNNNNNNNNNNNNNNNNNNNNNNNNNNNNNNNNNNAACCUGAUCGUCUAUGUAGCCCGAGCAUCGCCAGCCGCGUUUGCGCCAGGGGCGCAUGACCUCUCGCAUGAGCUUCGUGAACGCCCAGCAAGCGGAAGCGAGGCCGGAAGGCAGUUGUGUGAACACAUAGAAGACCCCUCUCCAGCAGAAGCCGAGAUAUUCCCAGAACCUGGGAUCGAUAUCGAGGUGAUGAUAGCCGCUUUUAAGGUCCAAAGUAAAAAGAUAAUCGCCUGGGAGUAGCCAACCAGGAACCGCCUUCAAGUCUUCGUAGCGGAAGGAGGGGACGUGCAAAUAAUCAUUUACCAGCCUGCCGUCCCAAAUAAGCCGGAGCUUGGUUGCCUGCUGCAUGACCCCCAACGGGCAAACCACGCGGGGCUGCGACGGCCAUACGCGGGCCGUGCCCGACGCCACCAGAUCUGCUACGGCUUUGUCCACGAACGCGGUGUUGGCGGUUGCCCAAGCGUGAUUGCGGCCGGAGUGCUGGGGGGGGAGGGCUGGAGACCCAACGGAGUGGGAAACCCGACGUGAUCCACGAGAUGACCAGCGUGUUCACAACCCAAGCCAUCCAAGCGCCUUUCUUGCCCGAGAGGCGUCCCCUCAUCUGAGGCGGCACGCAAGGCGGACCCGCUACUGGAGUCGACCGAGAUCCCGAGGUGUUGUCGAAAGUAGGACUAGAAAACUCCCCUUUAUCCUUCCAGAAUUCACCGGGGGCCUCAACCUUCACACCUUCUGGCGCCACCGCGGGGCGGGCGGGUUGUUUCCGAUGCAUGGCCAGACUUGCCGGAACUGGUGUGGGGUCCAGGUUUGGCCGACGGGCAGGGACGGGGCCCGGUGCGGGCCGUUUGGGGGCUGGUAAGUCGUCAGGGGCUGCGGUAGGUGGGCCGCGCGGCUGACCUAAAAGAUGCUGCCCUUUGAAUUGGCUGGCGUUGUGACUGAUGGACAGCUGGACGUUUUCCACAAGGCCCGGACUCGAGAGGGCCUCUACCCCUAGCUCGGACAGGAAGGCAAUAGCAUCAUCGUGCGAGAACGAAUCCAUGGUUCCUCAGGCUGGAAAUUACUGGCGGCUAUGAAGGCCUGCAAGCGUGCACCGGACAGACUGUGGGAGACACGGGCGAGGCGAGAAGCGGAGCAACGCUUAAAGAGUAAGACAGGCAAAAAACGGGUCCCCAGCCGGCCGGCUGCCAAGGCGACUUGAGUGGCCACUUGGCCUGACGCGAAUUAUCCGAUAAGGGAAAAAAUAAAACGGCAAAUGCUGCCACAAAGUGAACCCAUGCGACGGUCUGUUCGCAACCUCAAAAUGCGAACGCGAAAUAAAGGAGAAAAGCGGGAAGGCAAAACACCGCGAGUAAAAAAGGUCAUCAACGAAGCUUACAACUGUGCACGCGGGCGCCAACAACUGCGCACGCGGGCGCCAACAACUGCGCACGCGGGCGCCAACAACUGCGCACACGGGCGCCAACAACUGCGCACACGGGCGCCAACAACUGCGCACACGGCACCAACAACUGUGCACGCGGGCGCCAACAACUGCGCACGUGGGCGCCAACAACUGCGCACGCGGGCGCCAACAACUGUGCACACGGGCGCCAACAACUGCGCACACGGGCGCCAACAACUGCGCACGCAGGCGCCAACAACUGCGCACGCGGGCGCCAACAACUGUGCACGCGGGCACCAACAACUGCGCACACAGGCGCCAACAACUGCGCACACAGGCGCCAACAACUGCGCACGCGGGCGCCAACAACUGCGCACGCGGGCGCCAACAACUGCGCACGCGGGCGCCAACAACUGCGCACACGGGCGCCAACAACUGUGCACACGGGCACCAACAACUGCGCACGCGGGCGCCAACAGCUGCCAACUAUCGCGCACACGGGCGCCUCAAUCGCACGCGCGGGUGCCCAAAUCGAUGCUCGCUGGCAAUCUCAUCAUAACCAAAGAAGAAAGAAAUCUUGUGCACUCUGCACUGACCGGCAAUGGUCCUUGAAGAGAAGAAGCGGCACACGGGCCAUAAAAAAAAAAAAAAGCCAGGCACACGGGCCCCACUCUACUGCACCAGAGCCUGAGAACCACUACUUGCCGCUGCGGCCUUCCUUGCGGUUAUUGCCAUUGCGAUCGCUGCGAUCAAGCGCUCUGCAUCGCGACCUCCACCAUACUCAUGACCGCGCUGGCCGCAACCCCUGUGGCUGCUGCCGCGCGAUCCGCCACCGCUGCCUCCGCCGCCGGAGCCUCCAGCGCCGCGAGAAUGGCUGCCGCCAAGACUGCCAGGCGUGGAGGCGCUCGCCGUCCGCAAGGAACAGUCAUUCUGUUUCCGCACGAGGGCCUCCGCUUUUUCACCUUUUGGGAUCCGUGUGCCGAUAAUGUUGUUAAAGCAGUGAUCUCUGCUCAUUAGCCAUAAAAUCCGCGCGAAACUCAUCUGCCUGGAACGGUGGCUACGGACUCUGUCGAUGGCGCAUUGUCAUUAAUAGUUGAAAUUUGAAGGAACUAAGUCGGAACCGUAGGAACUCGAGCGAUGUAGAUCGGAACUUGAAAUGGUAAGGCUUCAAGUACAGCCUGUCACACUGACUAUUGGACAAGGCUGUAUGCUCUUCUGCGUGAAGGCAGAAUGACUUCACCAGGAGAGCAGCGAGAAUUAAGUCGCCACUGCGAACCAGUUGUACGACAGUACCACAGAACCAGCCUUAGAAGCUCCGGUCGCUUCGCUCCGUCGCGUCUAAGCCAACAAGGGGCUUUCACAGCUAUGAAGCACAACCCAAUAAGCAGGACAUGCCUCGUGAAACGAUGUCUACGUAUGAUAUUGAGCCAAAAGAUGUUAACAUGUGCGCAUAACAAUAGGCUCAUUCAUACAAAGCCCGAAGCCCGAGAAUUAACAACAAGCAGGCAGAGCAAACACGUCCUUUGGAAGGAGUAGCUGAGAGAGGUGAUCCUAUGGACCACCAUCCACACUGGCAGCGAAGCAGAGACCUUCAAUGCCAUAAAUACCAGGGGCUUUCGCAGCUAUGAAGUACAACCCAAUAAGCAGGACAUGCCUCGUAACACGAUGUCGACCUAUGAUGUUGAGCCAGUAACGUUAGCACGUGCGCAUAGUAGAAAAAUUAUUCAUAAAGUUUCCGACAUUUAACCUACUAAUAUUUUAUAAGGACGCAUACCACGCGACUGCCUUUGGAAGCGUCCCUCAAUGUCGUGCAGUUGGUUCCGGAGGAGGCGCGGACGCCAUCCAUACGUUUUCGUGUCUAGACCGUCCUCGUCAAUUUUUGCAGAUUGUUUUAUCGCAAUUUUACUGAUCAGCAGACGCCUGUCAGAAGCAUGGCUGGAGCUCCUGGAGCGUAUGGCUUCCGUGAUCAGGAGCAUGAGCGCACACAUCACACGCGACAUCACUUAGUAUGACAUGGCAUAGCAACUUUCUAACCCAGUCUGAACGGUAGCUGGAUUUGAUAGUCCUCCUACAUAGCAGUAUCCUAAUUGCCAAUCAUUGCGGUGCCCUAAUCUUAAUCCAAUACCAGUGUACUAUCGUAAUCCUGGAUAUAGGUAUUUAUCCUAAUCCUGGGGCCGGGUCCCAAUCCUAAUCCUGGGGCCGGGUCGCAAUCCUAAUCCUGGGGCCGGGUCCCAAUCCUAAUCCUACACUCGGGUCCUCAUCCUAAACCUGGCCUCAACUUUGUAUCCUAAUCCUGCCCCUCUUUCCAAAUCCUAAUUCCUGCCUGACCGGUACCCGAACCCAAUCCCUAAUCUUUGCAUCCCUCUGACUGGGGUCCCAAGCUCUCAGAAUCCCAGAGUGCCAGGCUCCCAGGCACAUAGGCUGCCAGGCACACAGGCUCUUAGAAUCCCAGGCUGCCAGGUUCCCAGGCUGCCAGGCACAUAGGCACACAGGCUCUUAGCAUCCCAGGCUGCCAGGUUCCCAG
rnacentral:lncRNA from 1 species